AUCUUUUUAAUUACUUAUUUAUUUCUUACUUAUUUAUUUCAAGUAAAAAAUAUGUAAAAUUUUUCAAAAAAGUGUGGGUUUUAAAUACAUGCGCGAAAAAAAUCGCGCAGAGAUUGAUAAUGAUCCUUCCGCAGGUUCACCUACGGAAA
rnacentral:misc_RNA from 1 species